rnacentral:rRNA from 1 species
UACGGGGGGGGCAAGCGUUGUUCGGAAUUACUGGGCGUAAAGGGCGCGUAGGCGGCCUUCUAAGUCGGACGUGAAAUCCCUCGGCUCAACCGAGGAACUGCGUCUGAUACUGGAAGGCUUGAAUCCGGGAGAGGGAUGUGGAAUUCCAGGUGUAGCGGUGAAAUGCGUAGAUAUCUGGAGGAACACCAGAGGCGAAGGCGGCAUCCUGGACCGGCAUUGACGCUGAGGCACGAAGGCCAGGGGAGCAAACGGG